CUCGUGCGCCUCACCCUCGAUCUUGCGGCCUGGACGGCGCCGCCGCUCCUCUCAUUCACGCCCCCCACCUCCUCGGCCUGGGCUAUGCGACCUCCUGGUGGUCACCAGUGGAUAUGAGGCCGCCGAAAGAUGAGACGCCAUGUGGGAGGAAGAAGCCGUCAUCGACCGACGAAGGGAAAGAUGUUGAGGGGAAGGGUAGCGAGCACGGGCAGAAACCGACGCCCGCCAGCAGCGGCAGGCUGGAUCUGGACGGCGUGCUCGUGGCGCCAAUCACCAUCUGGGUGAUCAGGGCCGAUGGGUUCAUCUGCUCCCACCUCCUGCGAGAAGCUCAUGGCCGAGACCUCGUACUCCGUCCUCGUCGUCGACGUCUAAUGCUACAGGAUCCGCGGCCUCGUCGAUCGACCCCCACACCACGUCGCCGGCCACAUCUCCUUCCACUACCUCAACGUCAAGAACUACUCCUGCCUGGUGGGCCUCAUCAAGGUGUCUGAUCUGGUGCGCCCCUCCCCACCUCCUCUCCCUUCCCCGCUCACUCCUGUCCCCUAAUGAAAAAUUGGUUUGCGAAAUUUUGUUAUUGUCUCUUUUAGUGUUCUUGAGCUUGCUUUAGUUAUUUAGGUUUGGAUGGUGGGAGAAAAACUGGGUGAAGGCAUUGGUAGAAGUACAAAGAAAGAAGCACUGCAUCAUGCUGCAGAAAUAUCUUUAAGAAAUUUGCCAAUUAAGUUUGUUUUAUUGCAUAUUUGUACUAACCUCUCCAGUUUCAUUUUUGUGGAUAUAAGAUAAUAUGUUAUGUAAUCAAGAGAUUCAUUUUAAAUUUGGAUUGUUCAAAUGUUUACUCGAAGCAUAUAUGUUGUGUCGUGUGGAGUUUUCUCUUUUUAGCACCAUCUAUCUUGGAAUUAGAUCGGAUAGUGUGAGCAUAUAAUGAUGACUGUUUCUUGAUGGGUACUUGCUGCAUGAUUUUUUCCAGUGCAUGUCCAAGUUUACAUGUGAAAGUGUCUUGCUUGAUUCCGUUCUACUGGUUCAUUGGAUGAAUAAACUCACAUCUUGCAUGGCCAAACUGUCAGCUGAUGUUUCGAAUAAUUCAGUUUUUGUCAUUGCAUGAGAUUAUGGAGUGUAAUUCUUCAGAUGUGCAAAUGUCACGUUGUGCUGAGGGUUCCGAGACUACAAUAGAGACCAAAAUCAAGACUUUGGAUUCUCAAAUAUACAAUUUGCGUGUGAAUAAAUAUAUAAAUACAUGUUGUCUGAUCCAAAUAAGAUGGCUAAUGUGAAUGAAGAUGGUUCCGAUAGCAAUCCAAACUUUGUUGGAUACUCUGAGAACACCAGGAAUGAUUUAUUGCCAACACUUCAGAGGAAAACAGGAGGUUCUGGUUCUAUUGCUGCUCUUAAGGAACUACUGGUCGUUUGACUCUCUGCUCAUUAAACUGGUAGUGUAUAAGCUGUGUGAAACAUACUGCAGUGCACUCUUGAGGGAUAUAACUUAGUUUUUUAAGCUGGGCCAAGUCCUCCAGAUGGUUCAGGAGGCAAGGAGACUUAUGCUCAGAUCAUGGUGAAGCGAGCAACCAAAUCAUCCUCACUUCUUGAUUCUGUGCUCCAUGCUGCUCUUCCUUCGAUUGCGGCUCAUCUUUGUUUGCUGCUCAGGUUCGUUUCCUGUCAGAGUGGCCAUGCAUAUAGCUCGCUACCUAUUUGUCUUUAUGUUCAGCAACUAUAUUUAUCUGUUCGUGUUUUGUUGCAUCAGUUUAAAAUUAUAAUUUGGUCACCACAGUUUCUGGUGGUCGUUUUGUUGUUGCUGCUCGUUGGUGAUUGGUUUUUGCAGCUGGGUCGUAUUUGCGCUUCAUUAUUAUUUUUGGGUGCACAUGGUAUGAGUUCCAUCGAUCCUGCUGUUGUUCGUGCUACUGCGCGUGGUCGUUGCCUUACUCGGUGGCAGAACAGAGCGUCAGCUCACUGUUUCAGAUGCUGGGUACAGGUGAAAGGAGGCGCUGGGUGGGAGUGAACGGGAGGCCAUGCGGGACAGAUGUAGAAGAGACGGAGUCGGGCAACUACGGUUGGGGCGGCUGUGUGAGGAAGAUAGAGGUGAGAAAGGAAGUGUAGGGCUAGCUAAUGCUAAGGGGAUGAAUCAGAGAGAUUAGAGGAUAGAAGUUGAGAGAGAUUUAGGCGAUCUUCAGUAGACGAGAAUAUUUUGUUAGAUAUGUGAGCCCAGCACAUGUGAUGCUCCAGCAGGUAUGUGAUGCUAAUGCAUAUAUAAAAAGAGAGGUGUGAUGUGUGAUGUUGCUAUUUUCGUUGAUGUCCUGCUGCUGCUGGUAUUUUUGCUAGCUAUUUGAGCCCAGAAUAUGCAUUGCUGAUUGCUACACUAUGCUCUAAGGUUCUUCAAUACUACAUGAAGGCGUUUAGAUUGCUCAAUAUGAGGUGAUGGGAGAUAGACCACAGAGAAAGAAGCACCCAGGUCCAUGCCAUUCUUGAAUGUGUUAUCAUUACUCACUUUGUUGCCCUGUACUCCCCCUUUCCUAAAUAUAAGCCUUUUUAGAUAUUCCAAUACAGACUACAUACAGAGCAAAAUGAGUGAAUCUACACUCUAAA